rnacentral:antisense_RNA from 16 species
CUUCACCGAGCCGAGCCAGAGCGGUCGUCCCUCCGGUCGCCCCUGCCCGUAGGUGGCCAGCAGCGCCUCGGCCUC